AUAGAAUUAAAAAACUUGUUAAUUUUUUAAUUAAAAUGAGUCCUCUUUUCCUAAUCUCAUCAGUCGCCCUGAUGAAAAUACGUCAACGUUCGAAUUUUCAUGAUUCUUUUCAGAUCCGAUCUUUUUAUUAUUUAUUACUACGACUUAUUUUCGUCUUCGACAAAAGGUCAAUUUAUAUACAAUAAUUGCAUUGUAGCGGAUAUAGUUUAGUGGUAAAAGUGCGAUUCGUUCUAUUAAUCCCUUAAUAGUUA